rnacentral:rRNA from 1 species
AUUGAACGCUGGCGGCAUGCCUAACACAUGCAAGUCGAACGAGUGGCGGACGGGUGAGAACUGACUGGGAAACUGCCCGAUGGAGGGGUACAACUACUGGAAACUGUAGCCAAUAACGCAUACCAUCGGAUGUGCCGAGAUGGGAUUAUCUAGUGGGUGGGGUAACGGCUCACCUAGGCGACGAUCCCUAGUUGGACUGAGAGGAUGACCAGCCACACUGGAACGGAGACACGGUCCAGACUCCUACGGGAGGCAGCAGUGGGGAAUAUUGGACAAUGGGCGCAAGCCUGAUGCAGCCAUGCCGCGUGUAUGAUGAAGGCCUUCGGGUUGUAAAGUACUUUCGGCAGGGAAGCGUUACUUGCAGAAUAAGCACCGGCUAACUCCGUGCCAGCAGCCGCGGUAAUAC